CUGGACGUGAGCCGUCUUCCGAUCGUGUUGUCCCAAGUAGCGCGGGCCUCGUGGAAUCCCGCGUGAAUCAGCCCAGACCGUUGGGUAAGUCUAAGCAUACCUGUCUGACCGAUAGCGUACCAGUACCGUGAGGGAAAGGUGAAAAGCACCCCGGGAGGGGAGUGAAACAGUUCCUGAAACCGUGCGCCCACAAACCGUCGGAGCCUCCUUGUGGGGUGACGGCGUGCCUAUCGAAAAAUGAGUCUGCGAGUCAGUGGCGGGUGGCGAGCAUAAGCCGUGUGGCGUAUGCGUAGCGAAAGCGAGUCUUAAAAGGCGUUUGUAGUCGCUUGUCCUGGACCCGAAGCGGGAUGAUCUAGCCCUGGGCAGGUUGAAGCGCGGGUAAGACCGCGUGGAGGACCGAACCCACCUGGGUUGAAAACCGGGGGGAUGACCUGGGGCUAGGGGUGAAAGGCCAAUCAAAUUCCGUGAUAGCUGGUUCUCUCCGAAAUGCAUUUAGGUGCAGCGUCGGUCGAUUGCGUCGCGGGGGUAGAGCUACCGGAUGCUUGCGGGCCCUUGUUGGGUACCAACAGCAGCCGAACUCCGAAUACCGUUGACGUGUAUUCCGGCAGUGAGUCGGCGGGGGAUAAGCUCCGUCGUCGAGAGGGAGACAGCCCAGACCGUCGUCUAAGGUCCCGAAGCGUGUGCUAAGUGGGAAAGGAUGUGGAGUCGCAUAGACAGCCAGGAGGUUGGCUCAGAAGCAGCCAUCCUUGAAAGAGUGCGUAACAGCUCACUGGUCUAGUGGUUCCGCGCCGACAAUGUAGCGGGGCUCAAGCACACCACCGAAGACGCGGCAGCGCAUCUGAUGCGCUGGGUAGGAGAGCGUCCUGCGAGGGGCGAAGCGGCGGUGGAAACCGGCCGUGGACUUCGUGGGAGUGAGAAUGCAGACAUGAGUAGCGAGAGACGGGUGAGGAUCCCGUCCGCUGGAUGACCAAGGGUUCCGGGGCCACGUUCGUCGUCCCCGGGUGAGUCGGGUCCUAAGGCGAGGCCGACAGGCGUAGUCGAAUGGAUGAACGGGUGGAUAUUCCCGUACCGACCAUGGACCGGCAAAACCGAGACGGUGAGUACUAACCUCCGCCUCGUGGUGGUUCCUUCCUUCGGGUUGGUUCCGCCGCGUGGUGUUGGGACUGUAGCCGUAGUAGGUCAGCGCAGGGGUGACACGGAAUGGGAGCCGGCCGCGGAGGUGGUUUUCCGUGGUCAAGCACGCAGCCAGUCAUGUAGGCAAAUCCGCAUGGCGCGCAUGGCGAGGUGUGAUGAUGGGAGCCGUUAUGGCUCGAUAUCCGGUUGUCCAGGCCGUCGAGAAAAGCCUCGGCGUGAGGGCCAUGGCCGCCCGUACCCCAAACCGACACUGGUGGUCAGGUAGAGAAUACCAAGGCGAUCGAGCGAAUCCUGGUCAAGGAACUCGGCAAAUCACUCCCGUGCCUUCGGUAUAAGGGAGACCCGCUGGGGUGAAGGACCUUGCGUCCGGAGCUUUGGUGGGUGGCACAGACCAGGGGGUAGCGACUGUUUACCAAAAACACAGGUGCAUGCGAAGGCGAAAGCCGCUGUAUAUGCACUGACGCCUGCCCGGUGCCGGAAGGUUAAGAGGAUCCGUCAGCCUUCGGGUGAAGCGGUGAAUUCAAGCCCCGGUAAACGGCGGUGGUAACUAUAACCAUCCUAAGGUAGCGAAAUUCCUUGUCGGGUAAGUUCCGACCUGCACGAAUGGCGUA
rnacentral:rRNA from 1 species